rnacentral:rRNA from 1 species
UGGGGAAUAUUGGACAAUGGGCGGAAGCCUGAUCCAGCAAUGCCGCGUGUGUGAAGAAGGCCUGAGGAUUGUAAAGCACUUUCAGUGGGGAGAAAGAGGCCAUUGCUAAUACCAAUGGUGGAUGAUAUUACCCACAGAAGAAGCACCGGCUAACUCUGUGCCAGCAGCCGCGGUAAUACAGAGGGUGCGAGCGUUAAUCGGAAUUACUGGGCGUAAAGGGUGCGUAGGUGGUUUUAUAAGUCAGAUGUGAAAUUCCCGGGCUUAACCUGGGGACUGCGUCUGAUACUGUGAAGCUAGAGUACUGUAGAGGAAAGUGGAAUUUCCGGUGUAGCAGUGAAAUGCGUAGAUAUCGGAAGGAACAUCAGUGGCGAAGGCGACUUUCUGGACAGAUACUGACACUGAGGCGCGAAAGCGUGGGGAGCAAA